CUGAGGGCUGACUCCUGGCCUCUCGCUUUGGUGACACUUGAGGUAGCUGUGUGCUUAAAUGUCUUGAGUUUCAUUUUUUUCCAAUGGUGCAUGAAAUUUCACCUCAUCUGUGUUGAGACAGUGUUGAAAUAAUUCAACAAAUGCCUUCUCGCCUUUUUCCUUUCCUUCUGCAGAGAUGGCUUCUGAUGCGACCUGAUCUGCUGUAACACGCCAUGUCCUUGACCUCCACUGUCAUGGCUGCUCUCUCGUGCUGUGUCAGUGUCCACCUGUGGACUGCACCUUUGUUCAAUGAAAAACCUG